rnacentral:SRP_RNA from 1 species
CCACGCAGCCGGGGAGAUAGCGGUGCCCUGUACCUGCAAUCCGCUACAGCAGGGGUGAUACCAAUCCGAGGAUUUUUUGCUGUGGAGCUGCCCUUUGCAAGUGGCGUUGACGUCUGGGUCUUGCACAACAGGAAUCUGUGAACCGUGUCAGGUCAGGAAUGGAGCAGCACUAAGCAGAACCUUCUGUGUGAUGCGAGGGUGCCUAGGCUGAGUUAACUACAGAGGUAACGUCCAUGGUGGGAAUUCGACGUGCGGUGCGUGG